rnacentral:rRNA from 1 species
UACAGAGGGUGCAAGCGUUAAUCGGAAUUACUGGGCGUAAAGCGUGCGUAGGCGGUUAUGUAAGUCAGGUGUGAAAGCCCCGGGCUCAACCUGGGAAUUGCAUUUGAGACUGCAUAGCUAGGGUGCGGAAGAGGGAAGCGGAAUUUCCGGUGUAGCGGUGAAAUGCGUAGAUAUCGGAAGGAACACCAGUGGCGAAAGCGGCUUCCUGGUCCAGCACCGACGUUCAGGCACGAAAGCGUGGGGAGCAAACAGG